UCUUCGCAGUACCCUUGUUCUUAAAGGAGCGCUUAACGGGACCACCUUCGAUCAUCUUUUCCGACAUCCACUCCUCCUUCCCCCGCUAGGUCUUUGCCCGAUGCCUCCCCGCAAAGCAUCCAUGCGACAAUCCACAGCCUCCACGGCCAGAUCUCAAGCUCCGGACUCACCUCCAGUUUUCCAGCCUCCUCCUCCUCCUCCGGCAAUGGUGGUUGGCGCGGAGCAAUUCGACCUGCU
rnacentral:lncRNA from 1 species